rnacentral:rRNA from 1 species
AAUAGAUACCCAGGUAGUCCACGCCGUAAACGAUGAGUGCUAAGUGUUGGGGGGUUUCCGCCCCUCAGUGCCGCAGCUAACGCAUUAAGCACUCCGCCUGGGGAGUACGGUCGCAAGACUGAAACUCAAAGGAAUUGACGGGGGCCCGCACAAGCGGUGGAGCAUGUGGUUUAAUUCGAAGCAACGCGAAGAACCUUACCAGGUCUUGACAUCCCGGUGACCACUAUGGAGACAUAGUUUCCCCUUCGGGGGUAACGGUGACAGGUGGUGCAUGGUUGUCGUCAGCUCGUGUCGUGAGAUGUUGGGUUAAGUCCCGCAACGAGCGCAACCCUUAUUCUUAGUUGCCAUCAUUCAGUUGGGCACUCUAAGGAGGCUGCCGGUGAUAAACCGGAGGAAGGUGGGGAUGACGUCAAAUCAUCAUGCCCCUUAUGACCUGGGCUACACACGUGCUACAAUGGACGGUACAAACGGUUGCCAACCCGCGAGGGGGAGCUAAUCCGAUAAAACCGUUCUCAGUUCGGAUUGUAGGCUGCAACUCGCCUACAUGAAGCC